rnacentral:misc_RNA from 1 species
GGAAGUAAAAGUUGUAACAAGGUCUCCGUUGGUGAACCAGCGGAGGGAUCAUUACAGGACUCGCAAGACUCCUUCACCCUGUGAACCUCACUACAAGCACGUUGCUUCGGCGGGUGUCCCGGCGGGGGUUUUCCCUCGCCGGGGCGCACAGCCCGCCGGCAGCCUACUAUACUCUGUCUCUUUGCGUUGGCAUCUCGAGAAAAAACAAACAAGUUAAAACUUUCAACAACGGAUCUCUUGGUUCUG